UACGUAGGGUGCGAGCGUUGUCCGGAAUUACUGGGCGUAAAGAGCUCGUAGGUGGUUUGUCGCGUCGUCCGUGAAAACCCACAGCUCAACUGUGGGCUUGCGGUCGAUACGGGCAGGCUAGAGUUCGGUAGGGGAGACUGGAAUUCCUGGUGUAGCGGUGAAAUGCGCAGAUAUCAGGAGGAACACCGAUGGCGAAGGCAGGUCUCUGGGCCAUAACUGACGCUGAGAAGCGAAAGCAUGGGGAGCGAACAGG
rnacentral:rRNA from 1 species